ensembl:lncRNA novel transcript
CAGGAGGCAGCACUGGCCCUGCGGGAAGUGGCCACUCCGAGCUUAGGGGCCUUCUUAGAUGGCUGAGUGCCGGCAAUGCAGGACCCUGGAGGUGUUUCAGUUUCCUGGAGCUAUCUCAACAAAGUACCCGGAACUGGGGGGCUUAAAAUAACGGCAAUUUAUUCUCUCCCAGUUCUGGAGGCCAGAAGUCUCAGAUCAGUAUUGCUGGGCUGAAGUGGAGACAGAAGCUCCUUCCAGGGCCCUCGGGGAGGAUCCUAGCCUCCUCCAGCCUCCGGUGGAGGCCGCAGCCCUUCCUGGUCUUUCCUCCUCGCCUCCGUCACCUCAUGGCCUUUUCCUCUGUGCCUGUGUCUCUUCUUAUAAGGACACUCAUCUGGAUUUAGAGCCCACCCUAAUCCAGGAUAACCUCAUCGUCUUGUGAUUAUAUCUGCAAAGAACCUAUUUCUAAAUAAAGUCACGCAGGUA